rnacentral:rRNA from 1 species
UAGGGAAUCUUCCGCAAUGGACGCAAGUCUGACGGAGCAACGCCGCGUGAGUGAAGAAGGCUUUCGGUUCGUAAAACUCUGUUGUUAGAGAAGAACAGCGCAUAGAGUAACUGUUAUGCGUGUGACGGUAUCUAACCAGAAAGCCACGGCUAACUACGUGCCAGCAGCCGCGGUAAUACGUAGGUGGCAAGCGUUGUCCGGAUUUAUUGGGCGUAAAGCGAGCGCAGGCGGUCAAUUAAGUCUGAUGUGAAAGCCCCCGGCUCAACCGGGGAGGGUCAAUGGAAACUGGUUGACUUGAGUGCAGAAGAGGAGAGUGGAAAUCCAUGUGUAGCGGUGAAAUGCGUAGAUAUAUGGAGGAACACCAGUGGCGAAGGCGGCUCUCUGGGCUGUAACUGACGCUGAGGGUCGAAAGCGUGGGUAGCAAACAAG